rnacentral:rRNA from 1 species
UACGGAGGGUGCAAGCGUUAUCCGGAUUCACUGGGUUUAAAGGGAGCGUAGGUGGGUUGAUAAGUCAGUGGUGAAAUCUUCGAGCUUAACUCGGAAACUGCCAUUGAUACUAUCAGUCUUGAAUAUUGUGGAGGUUAGCGGAAUAUGUCAUGUAGCGGUGAAAUGCUUAGAUAUGACAUAGAACACCAAUUGCGAAGGCAGCUGGCUACGCAUAUAUUGACACUGAGGCUCGAAAGCGUGGGGAUCAAACAGG